rnacentral:lncRNA from 1 species
UGUAUCCAUGUGUAUGACGAACGACGGUUGUAUCCUAGCACUGCGUGCCAAGCGAUCCGCCAUUUUAUUGUCCGUCCUCGAUACAUGAAUAACUUCUGAAUUGGUGAAGCUUCUUCUCAAAAGUAUGAUAUCCUCCAGGUAACUCCCAAAUGCUGGCCAUUCCUCUGGUUCCGAAACCAUCUUCACCAGUUGAGAACAAUCCGUUGCGAACGUAACCUGAAACUGUCUUAAAUUUUUC